GGCAGCCUCGGUAGAGCGAUCCGAGAGCUGACAGAGCCUGUCUCCUGCGUGAGCGAUCGCGGGAGACACUGUUCUGUGUCACAAACCUGAAAAGAGUUAGUGCUUUUGUUGCGCAGCUCCGUAUCGGGACGAGCUUGCAUUUGCAGACACCGCAUCGCUCGGGAAGAGCAAGCUCUUCUCGCGGUCUCUGUAGCCCUU
rnacentral:ncRNA from 2 species